GGGGAUUAUGCGCAAUAUAAGUUUUGCCUAAUGGUAAAAAUGUAUAAGGCUAAACUUAUACUUUCGAUUAGGAUCGGGAUUGAGAAAAAAAGCAGCAUGGCGCUGGAGCAGCUCGGAGAUCCGGUAUUUUUUUCAAUAGAUUGCAGUGGUUCAACGAAGUCAACGUUUUUUAUUUCGGUCUGCAGUGAAUGGUUACUCACCACGGAACGGAUCGAAAAUCUUGGCUCGAUCUGCCUGCCUACAGUUAAGCGAAAAAUGGCGAUGCACAGCAUAAACUGCUCGAGAGAAAAACAGUGAUUUGAAGAUCCCGAGCUGCAGCUGCAGAUCAUGAUCCGGUCAUAGUUAGCACCCACGAAAAAAAGAUGUAUUGCCCAAAGAAAAACCCGCUAGCAUAAUGAUAUGCGUCUACCUGAAUUAAAACCUGCAUCUUGUUUUAUGGAUGAUUUAAGAUGAAGUGUGUAGUGAAAUUUAAAUAAAGGAAAUAUGUUUAUUAUACAAAUC